AACCACACAGAUACUGUAUUAUUUAAAACACUGCUUGGCCCAUUAGUUCUAGCUUUGGGGCUAACACUUACUUGUUAAUUUAACCCAUUUUUAGUAAUCUGUGUAUCACCACGUGGCUGUGGCUUACUGGGUAAAGUUCCAUCCUGCGUCUGUCUCUGGCGGGGCUACAUGGCUUCUCUCCACUCCACCUUCCUUCUCUCAGCAUUCAGUUUAGUUUCCCCCACUUAGCUAAGUUCUGCCUUGCUAUAGGUCCAAAGCUGUCUUUUAUUAACCAACAGUAUUCACAGCAUACAGAGGGGAAUCCCACAUCACAGGCUCUCCAGUUCGAAUUGAAAACUGUACCGAGCAUGACUGGCUCGGGGUGGGAAGGGUGCUGAGUUCUUUUCUGCAACUCCUAUCUGACAAUUCAUGGGCUGGGUCCCAGGACAUGGCGGGCAGGGUGGCUUCCCCUUAUGCAGCUGCCAGUCAAAGCCUUAUGACUGCUCGUGGUCAGGGCCGAACGAUCAUACAUAGCAUUUUGGCCUGGAGCUGGGCUUCUCAGCUCAAUCCAUCUACCUUACUAAUCCUCGGGGGUCCAUUGUUUCCUCCUCUUCCUGUGUCAGCCUUGUUCUCUGACAGUAAGGUCUGUGUUGGCCUGAGGGCGAGAUGCUGUAUAGCUUUGCAGACCUAUGAAGGGCUCAUUUUUCCUGGACACCCAUCCAUUGCGCCUUCUUUUCCCAUCCAAAACUCAACAGUGCCGAAGAGGAGUAUAAUUCGUGUGAUAGCCCCUUUGUCCUUGGGACUGCUGCAGGAGCAGAGGAUACCAUGAAGAAGGAGCUAGGGAUAGGAGUACAGUGCUUGCUCAUGAACCUGGAAAGCAGCAGUCACAGAGCCCAGUCAGCCACAUGAUCAUCAAGGCAAACAAUCCACACUCCACAAUUGAAAGACUUUCUACCAUGGAGAGAUUUUCAUUCUUGUCUCUCAAAAGCUGACGGAGCCGAGCAGAGGGCUUCCCUGUGUCGGGCUCCCGACGUGUUCAUCGUGAACGGCUCGCCAUGCCUCACUGAUGGGUGGGAAGAUGGCAGAGGCAUUUGAAUAAGCUACAGACAUGGUUGAAAUGAAACGAAACAACUAGGCUCCACAGGCUCCAUCAGGCACAGAGUGGGGACUUUUGAAAGGUGGGUGUGGCUGAAGAGGUCAGAGCGUCACCACCAUCCACACACCCACUGGGUCGCUUUGUUUGGAAGUGUCUGCGUCUCUUUUUCUCUUCAUAUGUGGAAAUGUUAGCUCUAACUUUGACUUACUUCAUGUGCAGAAUUCUUCAACUCUAACCUAUGUGCCCUGGCCAUGUGACAGAUACGGUGGAUUACGAUGGCAAGUGAGAUCCUCAUUCAAAUGAGGUGCAUUUGUUUCUGGUAAGGUGGUUCCAUCUACAGACACAAAACAUCCACAUAACACCUACUAGUGCCCUUGGCACCUGGUUUAUAGCAGCUCUGACUGGGUUCCAGUUUCUGACGCCCUUUCAAGAUUUC